CUGAAUUUUCAAAAAAUUUUGUUUUAGAAUAAUAUAAAUAUUAACAUUAGUUGUUUUCUCUUAACUUAGCAAGAUUCCUUUAAAUACUAAUAUAUUUCAAUUUCGUGCUUUUCUUAUACCAUUUUAUUUGCUGAUAACUUUGCUAUUUACAUCAGUGCCUCGAUCCCCUCCUCUCAUGAGAAUGAGACCAAGCAGUCGCUCUUUCUCUCAUGGUGUUCAUGUAUUGCCACCUAUACCUGGGCAUUCAGGUAAUAGGAUGGUCGGUCAUAAUGUCCAUGCUAAAAUGUCCCAUAAUCGAAAAAUAGCCCAUCUGGGAAGGGCACAUAGUCAAGAUCGUAUGUUGGUAGGAUAUUACAGCAGUGAUGUUACAGAUCCUGAAGAUGAUGGUGAAGUCUAAUAUUUUUUACAUGAAAGUGAUUAUCUACCAUGUAAAAUCAUCCCAAGAUAAAUCUACUUUAUGUAGAAGUGCUGGUCACAGAAUAUUGAUUUUAUUUACCUAGUCCAUAAUUACUGAACAUCAAACUUUUAUUGAUUUUAGCCAUUCAUUGAAAUCCCUGCAAUGAUAUUCAUGUAUAUAAAAUAUAUAACUACAAAAAAACAAAUUAAGAUUAUAUAUAUAUUAUAUAUGAAAUCACACUGCAUCCUCAGUUACCAAAGAUGACAUAAUUUGGAUACAGUAGACUUAUUUGUGUUCUUCAGUGAUAUGUUUUGCCUCUGUGCAUAUGAGAAAAAUUAAUUUUUAUUUGUUAAACAAUUUAUAGUGUUCAUAAGAAGAAAAACAUUGUAUAUUUGUUAAUUUGUAAAUAAUUGGUUUCUAGAUUUAAAAUUUAUUAAUUUUAUUAUAAUUAUUACUAGUUUUUUGAACCAUUAAAAUGCUCGUUUUAAUGAAUUUGCAAAAUGCAUGAUCAUCAAAAGAUUGUAAAGUACAAAAUUUGUGAUUGGUAUAGAACUAAUGAUCAGUAAUUUUUUUUUUUUUUUAUUUAAGAUGUACAAAUCGAUAUUGAGUAUUUUAAUUGUGUU
rnacentral:lncRNA from 1 species